UGGCGAUUAGCUCAGUCGGUAGUAGCAGGUGACUGUUAAUCACCAGGUCGUAGGUUCGAGCCCUACAUCGCCAGCCA
rnacentral:tRNA from 1 species